CUUUGAGCGUGAUCACCUUUGGCUUCUAUAGUUUCAACCAUUACCUACACAUUCACGGCACAUCAAGCAGGGAAGUGGAACCGAAGGUAUGCCUAGAGGAAUGAGUUACUACAUUUCACUACUUGCGGUUCUAUUGUGUUGGCUGCCUUCUCUUCACGCGGCUUUUAGUUGCCCGGAGAAUAAAGAAAAUGGUCGGUGUCGUGCCGAUGGCACCUCACCCGAAAAUAAGUGCCCGGAUGUAAAUGUUUAUUGCAUUGCCAACCAAGAAAUUUGUACCUGUACUAAAACCCUGCAUCGCAGUGAAGACUCCAGAUGCGUGAACUAUAAAGAUUGCUUUACGAGAACGUACGAUACCCGUAGGUUCCUGAAAAGACGUGGUUGUAGUUACCUCGUGGGGGCAACAGCACCUCAAACCUUUCAAGAGAAGUGCAUGAGAUCUUACUUCCUGUCCGAAUCUGGGACUGAAAUUAAUCAUCAAGUGAAGUAUGUUGA